GUUCCCAUGCUGCUACUGCUCUCCCUGGGAGGAAGCCAGGGAAGUUCCUGUGGUCUUUCUCUUACUUGAGACAGCUGAUGCCCCCUCCGGUGUCUCCUGUGAUGAUGGCUCUGGAUCUCACUGAGAGAAUGCAUCUGGUGGUCUGCAAAAUAUCACUGAUGGGUCUUAAAGAAACGGCGAGUGACACCGUUUCUAGAUGAGCAGCCUGGACUCUGUUUAACAGAAAUGUGUGCCAUCUGUUCCUAAGUUGAGUGAAAAAGUUGGAGAUGGAAGCUGAAGGCUGAGGCAGCUGAAUUCUCUUCAGCAGGGCUUCAAACUGAAGCACAGAAAUGCCAUUUGUGUAUUUACAAGUUGUUCUGACAGCUUGUCCCUUGCAGCUGCCAGAGUUGAGCUGCUCGUGGUAACUUGAAAAACGGUUACCUGAAAAAUGGCUUCAACGUGGUCCUGUUGUCAGGGUGUUCCUUACGCGCUCCUGUCCUCUCAGGCUGAACACUGGAUUCAGCAUGUGCCCCUCGUGUCUCAGAGCAUGCUCUAAGGUGAGCUCAUUUCUUGAUAGCAGAGCUUCCUCCCCGACCUCCGGUGCUGUCUGCCAUUCACAGUGGAUGAGUAACCCUCCUGGCAGGAAAUUGUGACCUUUCCGUGCAGCAGCGGGGCACCCAAGGUGAUGGGAGAGCACGUGGUAAGCAAAGCAAAUAAUCUCAGCCCUCAUCGUAACCUGGUAGGAUUUUUUCUGAGCUCCCUCAGUCAGAGACAGACAAGAGGUGUCAUGUGGCUUGGUUACUGUAAUCCUCUGCUGGCACCCGUUGGAGGUGAACAUAACUUUUAUGCCCUGCUGCUGUAGGUCAGUAGGCAGGAAUGCUGCUCUGAACCUGCCUGUGUUUCUGAAAAAACGUCUUAAAAAAAAAAAACUUGUAAUGAAUCAGAUCCGUGGUAUUUUCUAUCUGCCCGUGGAUGCUGCUGACGGGGAAUAGCACCAUGUAAACAACUGGGGAGCCACGUGAAGGGCCACAGGGUGACUGCUUUUUAAUGCUAGCUCUUGCUCUAAGUUCAAGCCCCUGUAGUCUCUGAAAGCCGCAGUGUUCCUGUGAUUGAUAUAAGUUAAUUGUCCCCAAUGAGAAUUCACUUAACAGAUGUGUUUUUGAGAGAGUUGUGUUGCUACAUCCCUUUUGCCUGCUUGACAUCUUUUACAGGGAAAAUCCCUGCUGUGUUUUGUUGAAGAAGCAUCUGUCAGGAAUCGCCCGUUCCUUUUUCCAGGUCACCUCCCUUUAGGGUACAUGUUCUGUCUUGACUGCAGUGAGUAUUGCUAGGUUUGUGAGGCAAAUUCAAGCGAGAACAAUGUCUCUCUCAUCUUGUUUUUCUGUCGUGUUCUUAGCCGUAUAUUGCCUAAAUUGACUCCUGCUUUCUUAACAUCAGGAACAGAAGCCACCAUUGUUUCAUGCCUAAGUCAAAAGGAUACGGGUUAAAGAUUUUUUUAAAAGCAGAUUAAAACGUAAGGCCCUUUAGAUGGUACGGUAGGAAUACUGCUUUGGCGCUGUGCUUGCUCUACAAAAAUGUAUAAAAGUAGAUUGAAAAGAUUUAUUGAUUGAAGUGAUUUAUUGAAAAUCUAAAGGAACAUACAGACAUUUAAAGCUGAAUUUUAAAAGGCGAGUCAGAAGUAAACGCUUUUGCUCUAACAGGAACUAAAAAGGUUGAUGAAACCAGAAAAAGCCUGGUAUAGUCAGAAUAUGAGUAGAGCUGCAACCCUUAGAGCUCUACUCAAGCGUGUGGGUAUCUGGCCGCCUCAAAUCUACAAAUACAUCCUGUAAAUUUGAAAAAAAGCCGCAUACUUGCAAAGUUCAGAUUGUUGCAGAAUUCAUACAGGCAUUCCUUCUCCCUCUCACGUGUACUACUUUUUGAUGCUUUUUAGUCCUCUUUCUGCCACAGGAUAUUCAAAAAGUGCUGAGCACAUCAUCAAGGUGCGUGCUGUAAGCUGGAAGCAAGCCUGGGCCACAUUACUGAAUGCACAGGGGGGAGUUGGGAGGCCAUUGAGAAGAACUAAGAAGGGGCAUGAGAAGCUGGAAUGUCCUGCUGGCUGGUAUCUAGCUCUUCAAUAUUUUCACUGCAGACAAGGGGAAGAAAGGAGCGAGGCUGAAAACGAAAACGGCACAUUCCAGAGGUGAGAGAGGAGGAGAUAAAUGAUGGGGGUUAAAAUAGUGAGAUGGAAGAGAGAGCAGGAGGAACUACCACAAAGAGAGGAGGCAAGACAAAUUUCAAAGGAAACUGGAUGCAGGAGAGGCGCACUUAAGUUCAGAGGUGGGGGGGGGGGGUUGUGUGGAGUGUCUGGUUGGGGUGGAGGGGAGGCAUAAGCAGUGCCCUUGUGUACCAGACUCCAUUCCCACUGGGAUGGCUGCCAAAUCUGCCAAACGUGAAAAACAUGCUCUGACACGGGUCUUUUAUUGCUGAGAGCUAGUCGGGGUGAAAAAGCUGUUUGCACAUGCCACCAUGGCCUGAGAGAAGCCCCUCCCAGCCUCCUGAAGUAAAAUUAACCUGAGGAAACGAAACGUGUCUGAACUGUGUGAGACAAUCUUUUUACCUACUGUUCAGAUGUCGGGACUCCAAAUUUUUACACUGCUCAAAAAAGUCCUUCACCUGCAAUAAAUCCUGGUGCCGGCAGACAGCGAUACAGCCCUGCUUCCCCUUCAAGUAUUUGUACUGAUGGCUUUGCAGUCCUGGCAUUUGAGCAGCGGCCAAGCAAGCAGGAAGGACUGUCAGCCUGAAACAGCAGCAGAUCCCUCCCUCCAUCUGCCUCUUUUACUAGGCUUUCCUUUCCCAGGCUCUCUCUCUGUCACUCUCUCCCUUCAGAGAAGCGAUACUUCUUUAUCAGUAAAACAAGAGCAGUUCUCCAGGCAAGCCCCGGAUUUUUGGCACAGGAUAAGAGGCACUUGGCCUUUUGGGAUUUUUUUUUUUUCAGUUGGAAGUGCAGUCUUCCUUGCAGCAGUCCCUCUCAGCGUUAUUUGGGUUCUUCUAAUGUGCUCGUAGGUUGAUUUGCUCUUCCACUCUCUACCACCAGGUAGCUCUGUUCUCUCUUCCUCAGGAUGGAAGAUUCAUGCUGUGCCUUACUGGUAGGGAAAAUGGUGUCUCCACAAGUAGUUUUAGUUGCUCAGACAAACCAUCAAAGUAGGAGUCUGCUUAACACUUGCAAAAAAUUAACAUGUUUGAUAUGAAACUGGAAGAAUUGAUGGCAAGGGGAAUAGAAGAAAGGGAGAGCAUUGAGGCAGUGGCUUUUCUAUUUUUUUUUUUUGAUUGUCAUUCCAUAUCCAUGUGAACACUGAAAGGCCACUCUCCCUUAAUAUA